AACGAACGCUGGCGGCAUGCCUAACACAUGCAAGUCGAACGAAGUGGCGCACGGGUGCGUAACGCGUGGGAAUCUGCCCUUGGGUUCGGAAUAACAGUGAGAAAUUACUGCUAAUACCGGAUGCCCAAGGAUGAGCCCGCGUAAGAUUAGCUAGUUGGUGAGGUAAAGGCUCACCAAGGCGACGAUCUUUAGCUGGUCUGAGAGGAUGAUCAGCCACACUGGGACUGAGACACGGCCCAGACUCCUACGGGAGGCAGCAGUGGGGAAUAUUGGACAAUGGGCGAAAGCCUGAUCCAGCAAUGCCGCGUGAGUGAUGAAGGCCUUAGGGUUGUAAAGCUCUUUUACCAGGGAUGCAGUACCUGGAGAAUAAGCUCCGGCUAACUCCGUGCCAGCAGCCGCGGUAAUAC
rnacentral:rRNA from 1 species